rnacentral:rRNA from 1 species
GACGAACGCUGGCGGCGUGCUUAACACAUGCAAGUCGAACGGUGACCUCGAGAGCUUGCUCUUGAGUGAUCAGCGGCGAACGGGUGAGUAAUACGUGAGUAACCUGCCCCAGACUCUGGAAUAACCCCCGGAAACCGGAGCUACUAACGGAUACGAAGUGGAGCCGCAUGGCUACUACUUGGCAAGUUUUUGGGGCUGGGAUGGACUCGGGGUCUCUCAGCUAGUUGGUGAGGUAAAGGAGCACCAAAGCGACGACGGGUAGCCGGCCUGGGAGCGCGACCGGCCACACUAGGACUGAGAGACGGCCCAGACUGCAACGGGAGGCAGCAGGGGGGAAUAUUGCACAAUGGGGGAAAGCGUGAUGCGGCGACGCCGCGUGGGGGAUGACGGCCAUCGGGUUGUAAACCUCUUUCGGUAGGGAAGAAGCGAAUGUGACGGUACCAGCAGAAGAAGCACCGGCUAACUACGUGCCAGCCGCCGCCGUAAAAC